rnacentral:rRNA from 1 species
GGCUUGCCUCAGUAACGGCGAGUGAAGCGGCAAGAGCUCAAAUUUGAAAGCUGGCCCCCUCGGGGUCCGCGUUGUAAUUUGCAGAGGAUGCUUCGGGUGCAGCCCCCGUCUAAGUGCCCUGGAACGGGCCGUCAUAGAGGGUGAGAAUCCCGUCUGGGACGGGGUGUCUGCGUCCGUGUGAAGCUCCUUCGACGAGUCGAGUUGUUUGGGAAUGCAGCUCUAAAUGGGUGGUAAAUUUCAUCUAAAGCUAAAUACUGGCCGGAGACCGAUAGCGCACAAGUAGAGUGAUCGAAAGAUGAAAAGCACUUUGAAAAGAGAGUUAAACAGCACGUGAAAUUGUUGAAAGGGAAGCGUUUGCGACCAGACUCGCCCGCGGGGUUCAGCCGGCAUUCGUGCCGGUGUACUUCCCCGUGGGCGGGCCAGCGUCGGUUUGGGCGGCCGGUCAAAGGCCCUCGGAAUGUAUCACCUCUCGGGGUGUCUUAUAGCCGAGGGUGCAAUGCGGCCUGCCCGGACCGAGGAACGCGCUUCGGCUCGGACGCUGGCGUAAUGGUCGUAAAUGACCG